rnacentral:rRNA from 1 species
UCGCGAAUCAUUCACAAUGGACGCAAGUCUGAUGAUGCCACGCCGCGUGCGGGAUGAAGGCCCUUUGGGUUGUAAACCGCUGUCAAGGGAGGGGAAACACCUAGUGUUAACAGCGCUAGGCUUGACUGCUCCCUAAAGGAAGCCCCGGCAAAACAUGUGCCAGCAGCCGCGGUAAUACAUGUGGGGCAAGCGUUGUUCGGAAUUACUGGGCAUAAAGGGUGCGUAGGCGGUUUGUUAAGUCACUGGUGAAAGUUUGCGGCCCAACCGUAAAAUUGCCUGUGAUACUGGCGAACUUGAGUGCGUGAGGGGUAGGGGGAACGAGCAGUGUAGCGGUGAAAUGCGUAGAUAUUGCUCGGAAGGCCGGAGCCGAAGGGGCCCUACUGGUACGUAACUGACGCUGAGGCACGAAAGCGUGGGGAGCAAACAGGAUUAGAUACCCAAGUAGUCCCUGAGCGGGCUGGCAAGGCGCAU